UUUGGGGCUUCAGGGAGGUUUGGGAAGAAGAGGAGGUUUAGGAAGUUACGGAAACCUUGGUAGUUACGGAUACGGUCGAUACGGAAACCUUGGUAGUUACGGUUACGGAGGACGUCAUGGGGGUUACGGAAGGAGUACCUACUAGAUGGAAAAGUUAUCCACCGAGGGAUCUAACUAUAUUGAACCAUGAUUAGUUUGUUGAUUGUUGAAUAAAUGUUGCAUCUUU
rnacentral:sRNA from 1 species